CCUACGGGUGGCAGCAGUGAGGAAUAUUGGUCAAUGGGCGCAAGCCUGAACCAGCCAAGUCGCGUGAGGGAUGACGGUCCUAUGGAUUGUAAACCUCUUUUGUCGGGGAGCAAGGCCCGCCACGUGUGGCGGGAAGGAGAGAACCUGAAGAAAAAGCAUCGGCUAACUCCGGUCCAGCGGCCCCGGUAAUACGGAGAAUGCAACCGUGAUCCGGUUUUAUUGGGUUAAAGGGGGGCGUAGGGGGAAGGUUAAGUCAGCGGUCAAUUGUCGGUGUUCAACGCCGGCCUGCCGUUGAAACUGGUCGUCUUGAGUGAGCGAGAGGUAUGCGGAAUGCGUGGUGUAGCGGUGAAAUGCUUAGAUAUCACGCAGAACUCCGAUUGCGAAGGCAGCAUACCGGCGCUCAACUGACGCUGAGGCACGAAAGCGUGGGGAUCGAACAGGAGUAGAUACCCUUGUAGUC
rnacentral:rRNA from 1 species